rnacentral:rRNA from 1 species
GAUGAACGCUGGCGGCGUGCCUAAUACAUGCAAGUCGAGCGAACAGACGAGGAGCUUGCUCCUCUGACGUUAGCGGCGGACGGGUGAGUAACACGUGGAUAACCUACCUAUAAGACUGGGAUAACUUCGGGAAACCGGAGCUAAUAGCGGAUAACAUGUUGAACCGCAUGGUUCAACAGUGAAAGACGGUCUUGCUGUCACUUAUAGAUGGAUCCGCGCCGCAUUAGCUAGUUGGUAAGGUAACGGCUUACCAAGGCAACGAUGCGUAGCCGACCUGAGAGGGUGAUCGGCCACACUGGAACUGAGACACGGUCCAGACUCCUACGGGAGGCAGCAGUAGGGAAUCUUCCGCAAUGGGCGAAAGCCUGACGGAGCAACGCCGCGUGAGUGAAGAAGGUCUUCGGAUCGUAAAACUCUGUUAUUAGGGAAGAACAAAUGUGUAAGUAACUAUGCACGUCUUGACGGUACCUAAUCAGAAAGCCACGGCUAACUACGUG